GGGCUCAUAGCUCAGUUGGUUAGAGCGCCACAUUGACAUUGUGGAGGUCUGAGGUUCAAGUCCUCAUGGGCCCA
rnacentral:tRNA from 1 species